CCUACGGGUGGCAGCAGUGGGGAAUAUUGGGCAAUGGGCGCAAGCCUGAACCAGCAACGCCGCGUGAAGGAAGAAGGCUUUCGGGUUGUAAACUUCUUUUCUCAGGGCCGCAGAAAGUGACGGUACCUGAGGAAUAAGCCACGGCUAACUACGUGCCCGCAGCAGCGGUAAUACGUAGGUGGCAAGCGUUAUCCGGAUUUAUUGGGUGUAAAGGGCGUGUAGGCGGGAGCGCAAGUCAGAUGGGCAAACUCAGGGCCCAACCCUGAGCCUGCAGUUGAAACUGUGGUUCUUGAGUGCUGGAGAGGCAAGCGGAAUUCCGGGUGUAGCGGUGAAAUGCUUAGAUAUACGGAGGAACACCGGUGGCGAAGGCGGAUUGCUGGACAGAAACUGACGCUGAGGCGCGAAAGCGUGGGUAGCAAACAGGAUUAGAUACCCUGGUAGUC
rnacentral:rRNA from 1 species